rnacentral:rRNA from 1 species
GCUUGACCUCGGAUCAGGUAGGGAUACCCGCUGAACUUAAGCAUAUCAAUA